rnacentral:rRNA from 1 species
CCUACGGGUGGCAGCAGUGAGGAAUAUUGGUCAAUGGGCGCGAGCCUGACCCAGCCAAGUAGCGUGAAGGAUGACUGCCCUACGGGUUGUAAACUUCUUUUAUAAAGGAAUAAAGUGAGGCACGUGUGCCUUUUUGUAUGUACUUUAUGAACAAGGAUCGGCUAACUCCGUUCCAGCAGCGUCGGUAAUACGGAGGAUCCGAGCGUUAUCCGGAUUUAUUGGGUUUAAAGGGAGCGUAGAUGGGUUGUUAAGUUAGUUGUGAAAUUUUGCGGCUCAACCGUAAAAUUGCAAUUGAUACUGGCAGCCUUGAGUACAGUAGAGGUAGGCGGAAUUCGUGGUGUAGCGGUGAAAUGCUUAGAUAUCACGAGGAACUCCGAUGGCGAAGGCAGCCUACUAAACUGCCACUGACAUUGAUGCUCGAAAGUGUGGGUAUCAAACAGGAUUAGAUACCCUAGUAGUC